rnacentral:lncRNA from 1 species
CUCCUACGCGACCAGCGACCGGAAGAUCACCAUCAUCAGCACGAUUCCCUCGCUGGGCCGUGCCAACCUCACCGCCUACAAUCUGGUGGUGUACGGCGGAUCUUGGGCCAGUACGGAUGUUAUGCGGGUGUACCUGUGCCGCUAUACCACAUCCCCUUCACAGUGCCCAGGACUCGGAGCUAUCGAGGUCCCCCCGCCGCCGCCCGCACCCAAGCCGCCAAGCCCCCGGGCGCCGGCAAACCCAUCGCCACGACCGCCUACCCCUCGCCCUUCACCGCGACCUCCACCACCAAGGCUGCCCCCAAGCUCCAAACCCCCACCUCCUUCACCCCGACGACCACCCCCCCUCAAGGUGCGUCAUGACCGGUAACUGUUUAGACUUGACGUACGCUUAUCACGUGGCCCAAGAACCUUUAACUUCAACGGAUAUUGCUAAAAUGUUGAGCAUAGGAACGGCCAUUGGGUGUUGGCCGUGCGCACGUUGCUGGGAAAGACUAGUAGGCAUGCAUGCUGACAGACGUGCACGAGGUAACUGCGUUGGGAAUGAGCACGUACACUCCGCUGAGGAUCUGGCUCACACGGUCAUGAUUAUCGCACCAGCACGCAUUUUACACAUAGAUCGCAUAAAGCAUAUAUAUAUAUGUGUGUGUAUGUACGUAUGUAUACGGAUACGUAUAUAUACGUAUAAAUAAAUAUACGUAUAAAUAAAUAUAUGUAUAUAUAUUUAUAUAUAUGUUCAACCAUCCAGACAUGCGGAGUUGCGUGGCCACUGUCAGCAUGCCGUAUGUACUGCCUGCGUGCCGUUUGUACCGUAUGCAUGCCGUUUGCGCCAUCUGCAUUAUCAGCCCUGCUGCAUGCACGACACAAUGCUGAAUCCACUCCUGAUGUCAACGCUGCCCUCAUAUGUGGACGUGCCUACGUGCCUUUCUAUGCCUUUACUAUGCCUUUCCGUGACCCCCCCCAUCAGGUGGUUGGGAGGCGACAGCUGCUCGGUUAGGCAGUGAGGUAGGCCGAUGGAUGCAUCCAUCAUAUGAUGGCCCAGGACCGGAGGCCGCAUGGAGCCAGCCGCUCCGUCACCCUGGAUAUUUGCAUAAUUGAACGAAAGCAGAACUGCCAGCACAGCGAGCCGCUUCCGUCCAUUCCUACUGCUCAGCGACUAGCCGCCAUCGGUGUCGCUUUGCUCGGCCAAUUUUCUUUCUCUUCGCGUUCUUCUUUUGAGUACGCGGGACGGGCUAAUAUUAAUCACCAGCUGCCGGAAUGAGCGCCAAAAGAUACGAACGUUUGGGAGAUUACGAUUGCGUUACAUAGCAAGUAAUAAGCUACAUUGUCGAGGGAGCGAGCCUGCUUCCUGAGGGCGGCCACAAUAAUGUAUCCAUCUAUCUCAAUAUAUCUAUCCAACUAUCUAUCUAUCUACCUAUCUCUCGGGACACUAUCCAAGGUCGGCGUAGCUUUAGCUGAUGAAUAUCUCCUGCCGCCUCGCUGAACGUCCACAUCACAUUGUAAAGUAUAGCAUAGCACGCGCGUGGAGGAAAAUGUACACAUGUAUUGAAGGGGCCGGCAGCAGCAAGGCGACGCUGCGACUCGCUCCUGCCGCCGCCGGCUGAUGAUGAGUACGUGGAAAGGAGUGUCAAUGGAGAGGUGUGGGCGCGGCAGGGCUUUCUGGCAGGCUUACUAUCAAUUGUUUAUUCAUUAUAAAGCUUAAUGCGGAGAUGUAGCGAUUCGGCGUUGAUUUUGGUGAAUUCAUGAAUGUACGGCCAGAAACGGGGUAGUAUUCAUUCAUCAGCGUAAUAAACGCGCGCGCAGUUUUGCCAGUUUUGGCCUUCGUUACAGGAGCCGCUCAAGGUAAACGAAAGUUCGCGCGUGUGAUCGCUCAUCACGGCGUUUCUGCGCGCUGCUGCCGCUGCUGCUGCUGCAGCCGCUGCUGCCGGAUCGCGUAUGUUGUUCUACGCAUAUGGAGGUCAUUCUUGUCAGCCGAUGUAUGUAGUGGUCAUCGGUGGCUUUGAUCUUACUUGCUUGGCGGCCGGUAAAAACUAUUACAUGGCGGUGCGCGCGCCAUAUGGCGUGGCGAUAGAAGUGUACUUACAGAAAUAGAGUAAAAAUGUGCAUGAUGGUGUGUGCGCAGCAUUACUUGUGGCUUUCUGGCGCAACAUCGGGAUGCGGCGAGAAGCAGCAGAUCUGAGCAGACCUCGUCAUAGGACAGCAAGCGUGGGCCUGCCGCGGCGGCAUGAGAGGAAAGCACUCGCGGCAAAAUGCACAAGCCAUCUAUAUGAAUGAGUAGAAAGCAUACGUAGCAACGCAACUGUCGAGGAUAGCAAGUAAUUCACGCAUUAUUGCUGUGCACGUGUAUGUAUGUGCGUGUGGACCUGUCGUCGAAGAGCACCGAGAGGCGAAACAGCAGCCGCAACACCUGCCGUGAUACAUGCAGGAUCGCUCGACAACAGCGGACAACAGCAGACCCCCCCCUUUGGAGCGCUGGACUGUAUUGUAUGUCGUUUUGUCUGUGAUGACUGAUGGCUAAUAGGUGGUGUCCGGGGUCGGCGAAUCCCCCCAGCCAUCCUUGUCCUAUGUACUAGACUGCGCCUUUACCCCGGCGGGGUUAGUCGAAUUACCCGCGUAGGGGCGUGAAUCGAGUCGGAUUGACCAGUUUUGCGCGGUUCGGGAUGCGUUGCUCCACACAGUGUGAGGUGUGGGCAUGCGGAAUUACUGAGCAAGGUUCUCGUAAAACAUUAGCAAAUUAUGUGCAUGUACAUAGGUGCCACUACUGCAUGUAAACUGGGAGUUAGCCCUGGCCUUGCAGGGUUGCUUUGGGUGAUGACGGCUUUGGGCGUGCAUGCAUAUGGCAUACUCGCACGUCCGUCCGGAGUUGCUUGAUAACCUUAUACGUUUCUGGUAUGUAUGCAUGGUGUUGAUUCAUUAAUGUAGCAGAGCAAGUGGUGAUUGGCUGCGUGCGCAUCAGGCUGCAAGUAUGUACGUAUGUUGGGCGGUGGCAUGCGGGCAUCUGCAUGCAGCAUCCGGUGCCCGCGUGCGUGCCUGCAUAAGCGCACAUAAAUACACAUUUGCUUUCGGCCUCCAUCCCAUCCGGGCGACUGGCUGCAAGGCAACGAGCAUGCGGGAGCGCCUGCCCACCCCUGCCCACCAAGUAAGAUUCAUUCAUUCAGUCCCCAGUUACUCACUAUUUAAGGUGAUGGCAGUGGGGACGGGGCGAAAGUUUUGAAGGCGCUGGGUUAGAGUAUAUGGUCAAAAGGAUGGACGCGCGUUGAGAUCGUUCUAUUAUCUCUUUCGGCAAAUAUAUUUGCUUGUAGGAAUCAGACUAAUAUUUUUGGGCGGGGCCCCAGCGCGAAGCGCCCAGGGGGGCCCCGACCUGUAGGAUUGCCCAUGUCCGUGUGUGUGUGUGUGUGUGUGUGUGUGUGUGUGUGUGUGUGUGCGUGUGUGUGUGUAACGGACCAAACAUAAUAUCUCGCCCGUCUGAAAUGCGUUAUAGGUACCAUAUAUCAUUAUCUAUCGCAAGGUAUCUCGCCUGUAGCCAACAAAAAUCGUAUGAGCACAAACAACUUUGGCUGCCUCAAUUGACCGAGGCCAAAGUCACAUCAACGCCUCUCGGGCUAAAUUUAAUCUCAAAAGGUAUCGCGUAUCUCAUCAUUGAUUUCCGAGAUGACAGCGUAUGAUAACUUGAACACCCAGCUUGUGUUACCAUUUGCCCGCACGGGCAUUCCUACUUGCCAUCAGCAGGCCGACAAAAUUGCUUACAUUUCUCUAUGAAAUACGCAAGCUGCUCAUUUGUACAUUUACUUUAGCCAAUGCUCGGGGCCUCCGGAGACUUGCGGUGUGUCCCGAUGAAGCCCGCGGCUGUAGGGCGGAUUGCUGAGGCCGCUGGCGCUUCGGGGAUAAACAUCACAGACAGCACCGAAAUUCACCCAGCUUUCGUUACCAUUUGCCCGCACGGGCAUUCCGACUUGCGGUCUGCCGCACUGUCCAUGCGGCAUGCACCCGGGAUGGAUGCGAUUCGCGUGGAGCCCGAUUCCGCCGGUGCAAGCUUAGCUCUCACACCAUCAGCACUGCUGCAACAAAGCACAUCUCCCACCGCGUUGACACUACCCAUCAAUUGUCACACGUGCCGCGCUAGCUAACGGCCUGUACGGAUGCAGAGGGGGCCCGCCCUUUUUCCGGCUUCGAGGAAGCCGACACCCGACUUGUCAAGAACCUUCUAUCAAAUGUCGCUGAAGCUAACUUAAGUUACUACAUAAUAAAACAGGUCUCUAGACGAUGUAUAUCCAAUAUAUUAUAUUUGGAUUGCAUACACGUUAAAGCAAGAGAUAGAGAUGCGAUUGUUACAGUGGACCCCGAACGGGUCGAGUGCAGCGCCCCUAGGAGCGCCUCCCGCACAACACUGUGGGCCUUAUUCAAAAAGAACUCGGCCAGGCCGUACUAACUUCAAUGGACACAUGGCCUCAGUUGGUACGCUUAAACAGAAAAUUGAGGCUCCGACGUGCGCCCUCAAACUUCGUCAUUGUACAUCGGUAAACGGCAAACAACCAUGUCUGCGUCGUUGACAUAUAAGAAAGGGUGAUUGUGAGGUACAUGUUCCCAAUGUUUUGGCAAGUAGUCCCGUGCCGCAAAAGCAGUUAAACGGGCCCAAAAGUCAGAGAUAACCUCGUAAGUAAUGCGGUUAAGCGAUGGCGUUGAUAUAGGCAUGUUGGUCUGAAGACCUUCCCUAAACAACAAACGGCGACCGAGAUUGAGUGAGCUGAUGGCCGCGAGGCAUACAACCUCCCACACACACGCACAAACCGAGGUCGGUGGAAUGCCCAACCACAGGUUAGCCCGGUUAAACAGGUCUGGGAACUCAAGUUCAUUCUGCAGAGCUUCACGAAGAGCCAACGCGACAGUACAGUCCCAGAAAUGAUGCCGACGAUCCCCACAAAGCAUGCGCACACCACAGGGGCACAAAGCAGCAGGGACACCUCUUUGACGUUUCGCCCUAUGCAUAGGAAAGGCAGGGAAACCAUCAAGAGCUAGCCGCCAAAGGGCUUCUUUAUGCUCGUUAUCCCACCGAAGUCUCCACAUGCGCGACAGAGUACGACGGAAGUCCAACAAGGUGUUGGCCAAGUUCUCCGGCGAUAAGACGAUAUCAACAGCAUCCAAAAUAAAAUCUUCAUGUUUUAGAUCAAGCGUCCGUAAAGAAGGUGCCAUUAAUAAAGUCGUCGCAAACGUGACUGUUAAUUGAGAGAAAUGCAGUAACACUUGACCAAACCUCCAUCCCAAGCUCUUGACAAUUCUUUUCCAGGCCUCUUGCGGAGGCGGUAUUUCAUGGUUUCCGUCAUUCAGAGACACUAUCGCCGCUAUGGUCCAUAGCGGGGUUAGGCGGUCGAUAAGUUGCGAUAUACGUGUUAUGGCAUUCGCCCCCGACUGACACGAUGCCGGCAGGGGAUGCCUCGGCGUGAGCCCUAAUAUGCCCCGUACCACAAUAGUACGAAACAAGAGAUAGAACACCAGGAUGCAGGCUUCGCUCGACCGGCGGCGCGACGGAUGGCCAGCCCUGGACAGCAGCAGCCAUGUAUGUGCCUAUAUCACAGCAAGUUGCGUGGUAUAUGUCGCUGGUGUAGCUUCUUGCGAAGAGCUGAUUCAACGUCUGGAGGCGUACAUCGCUAUAGCAGCUAUAUGUAAUACGGCACACAUGUCGUCACACAUGCGAAGGUGCUCCGCCAGCAUCUAUAAAGGCCUUUUCAGCGGCCAGCAGCUACUUCAUCCUCCUCCUCCUCCUCCAUCUUCUUUCCUUGUUGGCAGUCAUUUGUGCCACGGAAACGGUGUGGAGGGUUAUGGCUGUAUGCAUGCGAGGGAGAGGCUGGGCGCCUGGGGACCGCGACGAGUACAGGCUCCUUAUUAGGCCAUGUCUUUCAGGAACGAGCAAUGCAUCGGACGGUCUCAAAAAGGCCAUAAUUGUAAGGAAUUUCCCGACGGACAUGGGCAACAUGGGCCUCUGGGGCUAGCAGGCGAAGGAGGCGCAGGCCCAUCGAUUGUAUUAUCGUACGCAACAGCACCUACUUGGUGUGCAGGUGUUGGUGUCGCCUAGUAAAUACAUGAAUUCAGGAAAUCAGCCUGCAUGGCCAACCACCGGAGCGAUAGCCCCGUACGCAGGCACGCAAGGCCACGCCAACAAAGGCCAUCGUGGAAUAUGCUUCAUUGUUCGUGCGAUGCUGUCGAUUGCAUCUCCAGCAGACGGCUUUUCCGUAAAGAUCCGAAUGGAUGACCCGCGCCGCAGCACUCUUCCCCAUUCCUGGCACGCAUUGAAAAACUGAAUUGGGCAUUAGGGUGGACGUUAAAGCUUACGCACAGCAAAUACAUUAAAUUUGCAAUUUGCACCCUGAAAUUUCCAACAGAUAGAGAGGCUUUUUGGUGCUUGGCCAUAUGUUUCGCGACCCAAGCAGCAGCUGCAGGGAUGGAUAAUCAAAGGUAAUCAUGGGUAAUCCUGCGCCGCGGAAAACCCCGGCAGGGGCUCCUGGACCUCCAAAAUAAAUCUGGCAUCAAUUGCGGCGGUUAUACCGGUGAUACAUUUUUACUUUAGGGUGUUCCAUUUACCUAUGGGAAACAUCGGUAGGUACGCUGCGAACCACCUAAACACCCAGACGCGCGAAUCCACCCAGGUAUUGACAUUUGCUAUCUUGGCUACUAUCUACCUACGGCUUGCCUAUCUAUUCGAUAGGUAUCGCCUUUGUGUGCUAUGGUCAAUCCAGCCGUACACAGCCGUGUAUAUUGGCCCUUGUAUUCUGUAUGGCUUGGGCAUCGGAUUGCCACGGCAAUAAGUAAGGCCAUAUUUCUAGCCUCCCUUUCCAGGGAAGUACCAGGAAUAUACCUUGUUGCCCGAUAUCCUGCAGGGUACCAAAAGAGGCAGCGACCUGCGCAUCCACAUGCCGCAGGCGUCCAAAGUUGUGACAUACGCACUUUCAAUACAAAACCCUAAGUUAAUGUUACUACCGAAGGUUGCUGACCCCAGCAGCCCCAGCAGCCCCAGCAGCCGCGGCAGCCGCAGCAGCAGCCAAACUCAUGUGUAACAAGUUGCGCUCCCAGAAAUACUUCCGACAAUAAAGUACUUUCAAUUUUAUUGCUUCAUACAGCGUAAGUGAUUAUCAGGCCGGAUAGGAUGGCUGCCGCUGAACCUUGCAGAAGGUCGUCGUACAGAAUCGUACGCCCAACUUUGUACACCAAGCGUACCAACGUACCAAGCGGCUGUUUGACAUCAUAGCUACAUCAAGGGGGCGAAACACACAUAAUAACUUAUUGAAUGCUGUUUUCCUAGAAGGGUUGCAGAUCGUGGUGACAUAUGGACUUCUUGCAGCAGAUAGACAAAUCUAAGACAUACAGGGUGUUUCCACUGGCCGCACACUAACAUCAAGUUCAAAAAAUCUCACACCUGGCUCAGCGAAUCAUCCAAGCGAUAAGAAACUAGUUAAAUACAUUAAUAGAAAGUAAAAGUUCUCUAAAAAAAUCGCGUAAAGGGACUCCGUACGCGAAAAGCUGAAGGGCCCAGUGGAAACGCCUCGGACACUAUCAGGGUGUUUCCACUUGGCCGAACACUAUCUUCGGUACACUAUGGGCUAGUGUGGACUUAGUGUAGUGCUAGUGUGACGGUGCUUCCACUAGGUGCACUAAAGAGCGCCGAAACCAAAAUUGUUUUCUUUUGGAUGUUUUAGCGCCGGGUAUUAAUUGCUGCUAAUUGUCAAGGUCUGUAAGGUAAAUAUGGAUCGUAGGCUUUUCCUGUUAAACGUGGGCUCCAUUACAAGUGGCGGCAUUCCGAGGCUGUCGGUAUUGGGCGUGCGCAAGUCAACGCGGCUUUUGCAGGAAGGAAAAAAGAUAGCUGCUUACAUCUAAAGUCUGUGGUCAGAAGGGACAAUCCAGCUCCUAAAAGUUGCCCGCCAAAUAGUUAGUGCUAGGUCUGAAAGUUAAUGGCAGGUCUGAGGUCCAAUUAACUUUGUGACGCGCUAGUGUGGACUUAGUGUACGGGGUGUUUCCACUAGGCCUUACGGUUCUCCUCCAGGAGUGCCCCAACCUCCAAUUUGUUUGAUGAAUAUUUGUAACUAUCAUUAGUUAUAUCAAUAUAUGCAUUUAGAACGGUGAGAGACGAGUCCAGGACGAAGAACAUUCGAACUUAGUGUUAGUGUUCGGCCAAGUGGAAACACCCGAAGUCCGCGUUCGUGGCACACUAGUUAUCAGGGCCUCAGACCUGCUGAUAACUUUCAAAGUGGAAAUUAACUUCCGAGCGGGAAAAUUCAUAAUUAGCCAUUUUCCCUCCUCAAGGUCCUUCGUUGACUUUUGUAUUUUCCUUUGUCCACGGCCGCAAAUAGCCCGCUAACCCGUGGAAUUCACAGCAGGACCGGUCGAAUUGCCCACAUUCCAGCAAUUAGCCGACCAAACUCUAAUGAUUUGCGCAUUAAAUUACACCCACUCUUACUAUAACAAUGGCUUGGUGCCUUAAUAGCAACCUGUCGUAUGGUUCCGGGGGGCUUAAUGAAAACACCUGUUCAAUAGCCACACACUAACUCCACUUUAAAAAUAAUGUUGGAAAGUUAGUGUGCGGCCAAGUGGAAACACCCUGUAUAGGCACAGGUGGCGGGUUGGCCAUUGCUUGGCUGGUACUUUGGCCUGAUUUUGUAGCUUGUGAUGGCUCUCUGGUGGAUACAAGGCCCCUAAGGCCAAGGUGGCGGGCGCCCGUUCCGCGUCUAACCAAUCAAUUCGGACUGCAUUUACAAACGUUUUCCCAGGAAACGGUACUUAUUUCUUUAGCUUAUGAGUUAAAAUAUUUUAGGUAAUCCUCUUUACAUUACUGUAUACGAGGUUCUGCCUGGAUGCUUUCCGGAAGACAACGGGAAGGCGUCAGUGAUCCAUGGAGGACUGAGCAUUAUUAGCGGCUUAGCUUUCAUAGGCCGGUGCUAUAGGUCAGACCUGCGUCUCUUCUCUAGGCUAGGACGACGGUGUCCUUGAGCAAGCAUGGCCUUUGCGACUCUGUUAUUAAAGGCGCUAGUUCUUGUUGUGGUAGCUUCAUUCACGCAAGGUAAGGUUAGUUGCGUACAAGGGCACCUCAAUACGUGCAGGUGCGCUGCUUCAAAGAUUAUAAUAAGUUCCCUGUGCACGCUUCACUGCAGCUGCUUGCACCCGAAUAUUGACAUGGAACGAACGCAUUAAAGUGCAGUUGUUACAUCCAAAAUUAUAGUUAUUUUCAAACGGUUCCAAUUACAGAUUUCGACAAAGGUAUAAAUGCGUGUCAUCCAGCUCCGAAAGGAAGCAAGCGAGCAAGCAAGGUGUUAGCAUACUUCAUGGGAAGUCACGCAGUACCACAAACAUCCUGAAAGUCUUCUGGCAAUGAUGCACGGACUUGUGUUUCGAUACUUGACCUACCUAACGGAUGAGCAGCGCCGGCGGGCACAGAGUGCAGCUACGUAAUGACUUCAUGACUUUGUAUAAACGUGUACUUGUAUGAAUCUAACAUUCCUGUGCAUGUAUCUCGGAAAAUUGUUGCCCUGCAGCCGUCAUUUUGGAACCACCCGCAGCGGACAGCCCACCAGACACCAAUUUUGUUAUAGGGAUGCUUUCCAUUGUCGACACGCACCAAGAUGGAACCCCAUUGUGGGUUCUCCGCACUGUGUACGGCGAUCUCAUACCGUUGGCAAAGAACUCCUCAAAACCGCCCGCGGGAACCCUUCCUGGGGCCCUGGUCCACAUGGUGAGUCGCGUGUUACCAAGCAUAAUGUGCUGUCUGCAAGACGAAUGUUAUCGACGGUCCCAUUGAUUGGCACCUUCGUACUGAUUACAGCACCGAUACCGUCUGUACCUUGCUUAUCUGUUCACACCCGUUUCGUAUCCGUCCUGUCCGUACCUUUUUUCUGAGGGGAAGGUUGCAGCGGCAGCGGGUAGCGCUACAGACGAAGGAGGGUGAAAAGGGAGGUCGAAUUAAACCCUGACUAACAUGUACAGGGAACCACGGAUUUCCAAGUAAAAGCCAUCUGCGCUACCCGAGCCCCAAGACGGAAGCGCAGGCCCAGACACAAUCCACAGGAAGCGCUACGCAUAAUUACUACAAAAAGAUUGAAAAGGAAAGCAUCAACCCGCAACGAUGAGUGACGUGACCGCGUCAAAACAUAAACCCGUCAAAAACGCGCUAAAACGAGGACAAAUGACGAGAGGCCUACCUAGACAAAUAGGCGGGGGAAAAAGGCAUGAAGCGGAAAGCGACCAACCCAGGGAGCAGACACUUUCCUGCUUGGCCAUGAUAGGUUUAGGGUGUUGUGCACGCGCACAUGGCAUGCAUGAAGCCUUGGAAAAGCUAGCUAAGAGCGUAUCAUCAUAACGCCUGACUGCUGCCUGUUAUACUACGACAUGUGCAACUACUACUGGUGUCCUUGAUGUGGAAAAAAACAUACAUGCGUAGGUUCAUACCUCAACCGUCUCAUCCACGGCUAUCGCAAUCAUGGUAUGCAUGCACGACUCUGGUUUGCUGCACUGUAGUGGCUGUCGUACAGUACGGCGCACGGCAUCAAUUACAAAAGCCGCGUCCCCAGCAUCUCUAGAGGCCCUUACGGCAGCCAGCUACUGCAUGCACGGUCAGCUACUGGAUGCCUGGUCCUGCCCACGCUAAGCGCGACGACUCGCGCACACUACACAUGCAGUACCGCUUAAUUUCCCCUCGGCGGGGAAGCAACCAGGCAUGAGGAUGGCUACGGCAUAACGGUCCUGAUAGUUCAGCAGUUAGUUCGACGUAAUUUUUUCUCUUGAACAGGCACCAUACUAAUUGUUUUUAUCAAAUUUCGCAUAUUUAUUUUGCUAUAUACUAGGGUUGGCACUACUGAUAACGCCCAAUUAGUGUCUUCGAGAGAUCCCAGGAUCGAUGCCUAUUAGGGUUUGGGUCAAAAACCUUCCCAUAAUUGAAGGUAUUGCGCCCCUACUUGAUGGACGGUGGUGACCUGGGAUAAAGUUAACAUUUCGAGCCGACCAGGAAUGGAGUUGGGCCGCUGUCGACCCGGCAGAUCCCGUUGGAUGCUGGUGGUGGGUGCGGAACCUGAGCGAUCCACUGAGAAGUUGACUAGGGUGACUGGAUGAGGGUGCCCCGAAAUACCGGGGAAGGCAGGGUUUCGCAGGGUAGCUGGGGUCGCAGGGGUAUACCCCCCUGUUUCACACAGCUAUCUAUUUCGGCCAGCCUUUGGCUGGCUUUUGGGCUCGUAUGGGCCGUUACAUCUUCGGAGAGUAACGCAACUCAACGUAUAAGACACACGUGUAUGUGUUGCUUCCCGCGUGACCCUCUCCUCCUGGGCUGUAUGCAGAACUGCAACUAUGACAACGAUGGCAUGUGUGAUCCCCAAUUCUACGAGGAAAUAUGCCUGCCUUGUAGCAUGUGCAGCCCCAUGGCAGCAUCGUUGGCCGCUUCCAUGGACAACAAUAAUGGCACCAUCAUUGCAUGCUCUUAUGGACCACCUCCCACCAUUUUCCAGCGGCUGCUUGUCAUAAUCUUGGACUAUUCAAGCAGUGGGUACGCACCGAGCCUCAACGAGUCUACCGUACGCUCCCUCUUCCUGGGGCCAAACGGUGAUGGCACCGGCGGCAUCGCGCAAAAGUACGCGCAAUGCUCGUACGGCAAGUUUAACCUGAGCCCCCAAGGCUUUCGCGUGCUGACUGUGCGGCAGAACUACUCUAACGCGGUCGCAGCGAAAUGCAACUGGUGGGAGAUAUCCAACAAUGCAGACGCGGCUGCAAGGAAUAUUCUGGGUCUUCUCACAUUAUCCACCUUCACUCACUUCGUCUACAUCCUACCGCCCGGACUGCAAAAAGCCUGCGGCUGGUGGGGGCUGGGUAUGCUCCCCGGAAACCAGGUCUGGUUGCAAACCACAAGCUACGGCGUGUAUCGCUGGGAAAGUGUCAUGCAGGAGGCCCUACAUAACUACGGUGAGUGUGAGCGAGGGAGGGAAAAGACACGGCGCAUGGUGGCUUAGAGCAGUAACUACGAAUGAAGUUUAGCAUCCAUCGGACUCACAAUCAUCCGUUCGUGCGGAAUGCGGGAUAGUUAGAUAUGCAUGUGAGAUAUACCGACCUCUGGGAAUGUAUGUAUGUAAUCUUCUGCGCACCAAAUGGCACUCCCCAGCUUAGGAUAUGAAGGCGGCCCCGUUGAUGUUGCGGCCGCCUGCCUGACCUUACCCACGCAUCCAGGACUUUGGCACUCCAAGGACGGUACUGGAUCACUAGACAACUCUACCCUCAUGGGCCGCGGAAAUGCCUGCCCCAACGCUGCCGAGAUCUCUCGCAUGGGCUGGGCCAUACCCGCACCAGGCGGCGGGGCCAUCAGCUCUGCUUCGUUUGCUCCAGGUUCCGCACUUGCCUUUGUCCUGCCCGCCACCUACCUCACUGGCGACGGCAACUACCUGCGAGUGGUGCCCGACUGGCUGCCCACUUAUACCGACAGCACACUCGCUAAGAACCUCUACAUCGCCGUGAGGGUGGCGAAUGGGUCUUCCGCCAACCUCGUAGCAAGCUUUGCACCCAAGGUUAAUGUGCAUGAGGUCAACGCAACAAUGGUGAGAGGAUCGCACUUGGGCAUGGAAAGAAUGUUACGUCUAGGAGCUAAUGCCACGUGGUGCUGCGUGGUGUGGUCGAUGUCGUAGAGUACAGCACGCAGGACGCCCAUAGAUACGCGCUAGUGUGCUCUGCCAGCGUUUUGAUAGGCCGCUUCAGCGGCCAGCUAUUACAAGCUGGGGUACUGCCAUCAGGAAAUUUGAGGGGAAAGACAGCAGCGCGGAUAACAAGAUAAAAGGACCAGCUGAUAACUGCUGCACGGCUCAUCGACCUCAGAGUCAUCGUUGCUUGGUAUGGCGUUCUAACCCAUCGUUUCUUGGUGUGGUGGUGUGCGGUCGUGUGGCUUGAUCUGUGCAUAUGCACGCAACAUACAUAUAUGCAGGUAGACAUUUCUGUUUACACGGACUCUGCGCUGAGUGCGGGAUAGGUUACAAGUUACACAAGCUCCGCACAAAUGCAGGGGGCGUCCAUAAACGCCGGAGGGGGGGCCCCAUGGCCAGUCAAUCGCAAUCAUUGCGGGGCCAAGUGCGGAUGUUGACAUCCCUCUCCCACUCCCCAGCGCGAUGUGCCUGGUAUCCCAGACCUCUGAGAGGAAACUAACCACAGCUAAAAAGGGGGGCUUCAGCCAUAAUGGUACGCAUUCCGUGCCCUUGGAAGCCAGUGCCACCCUUGUAUUUCACUUCGAGGGGCCCAUAGGCCGAUGGACAUUCACAAAAGACAUGCAGCUCAUCCUCGACUAGUCUGCAGUCACACAGCCUGCAAGGCACGCUCGCGGCCAUUAGGCCAUUAGUUAACCUUCCAGGAGGUCCUCAACAUCAUUUUACCUGGAAAAACGCACGAGCACCUGGCGCAAUGGCCUAGGCAGCACAGCCCCAGUGUGAGUGAGCCAACCCAUUGCGGUCCCUUACUAGGAGAUGCUCCCAUCCGGUUCAAGUACCGGCAAGGUUUAACGCCAUCCGGUGGCUCCGGUGGGAACCCUCGCGGGUCGUCUAGGAUGUUAGCAGCGGAUAGGCCGGUAGCUGGACAUCGACAUAAGAGCUCAGUAAAACUAGCUAAACUGGGAUUAUAGUAGAGAUGGUACAGCAAGUAUUACUGCAGUACGGAUGGGAUGCAUCCGAACUCAUUCAGUGUUGAAAUUUAGGAUCAGUUUUUCGUUGAGUCGAGCCUUGAAACCAAUACUGUGUCCUAAGCGGAUACAUGUAUGCUUGCCUUCUCGCGCGUCCCUAGCAAUGUGCCUUCUUUACUCCUCGCCUGUGGACAAGUGUGGUGACAGAGCGAUUUACCUUGAUCUGCGGCCGCUUUCUUGCCUGGCGGAAUACCUUCCUUUCCUUUUUUGAGUCAGGGGCAUUCUAAAUCCAUUCACUGUCAGGCCCCCAACGGCACGCAGCCAGGGCUAAGGGCAGCCACAGCUCAUCGCCCGGUUGGCUCCUCGGCCACACUAAGAGGCAUCCGUAGCAGUCCACUGCACGAGGAAGGCGCACCCCUUUCUAUCCCUGAUUUUUUGCGGGACCGCUAAUCUUCCAGUAGUUAGGACUUGAUGUGACUUAAGCUACUUGCCUCUAUGAUUUCCAUGCCCUUCGGUGCUAUGCGUGUGCUUUGUGCGCAGGACAAUGAAUACCCGGCCGCUUAUUCAUAUGGAGACCGGAAGAUCACCAUCAUCAGCACAAUUCCCUCACUUGGCCGUGCCAACCUCACCGCCUACAAUCUGGUGGUGUACGGCGGACCAUGGACCAGUACGGAUGUUAUGCGGGUGUACCUGUGCCGCUAUACCACGUCACCUUCCGAGUGCCCAGGACUCGGGGCUUUGGAUGUCCCGCCCCCGCCGCCGCCAUCUCCCAAGCCACCAAGCCCUUCGCCGACGAGC